UAGAGUUUGAUCCUGGCUCAGAACGAACGCUGGCGGCAGGCCUAACACAUGCAAGUCGAACGGAUCCCUCGGGAUUAGUGGCAGACGGGUGAGUAACGCGUGGGAAGCUACCUUGUGGUAGGGGACAACAGUUGGAAACGACUGCUAAUACCCUAUGAGCCCUAUGGGGGAAAGAUUUAUCGCCAUGAGAUGUGCCCGCGUUAGAUUAGCUAGUUGGUAAGGUAAUGGCUUACCAAGGCGACGAUCUAUAGCUGGUCUGAGAGGAUGAUCAGCCACACUGGGACUGAGACACGGCCCAGACUCCUACGGGAGGCAGCAGUGGGGAAUAUUGGACAAUGGGGGCAACCCUGAUCCAGCCAUGCCGCGUGUGUGAUGACGGCCUUAGGGCUGUAAAGCACUUUCAGCAGUGAAGAUAAUGACAUUAACUGCAGAAGAAGCCCCGGCUAACUUCGUGCCAGCAGCCGCGGUAAUACGAAGGGGGCUAGCGUUGUUCGGAAUCACUGGGCGUAAAGCGUACGUAGGCGGACUGAUCAGUCAGGGGUGAAAUCCCGGGGCUCAACCCCGGAACUGCCUUUGAUACUGUCAGUCUUG
rnacentral:rRNA from 1 species